ACUUUAUAGUAGGCUAUAAGUAUUUGACUAAAACUGCAUAAAUCAAAUCUUAAUCAUAGAUGUACCGAUUGUAAAUAAUUUUUUUUGCUGACGAAGUCUUUUCUAACUUUUGGGGUAAGACUACUAACUAAGUAGCCUACAUUGAAAUUAGUGCUAGUACAGUAGAAGUGGUCUUGGCGUCGGGUAAUCGAUAUGAAAACAAGUCUACAUUAUAAUUAGGCCUAGAUAUCUACCUUGUCCGACUUUAUUUCAAGCAUUUUAUUUAUACCCCUUAAGUUGUAGUAGUGACAGUUUAACUACAAUGUUCAUCAAUAGUGGUUUUGAUUUUUCACUUGGAUUGGUGGAAGAAGGUACCAUACAAUACUAUACUACUGUACUGUGUUAGAUUGUUCAGCGUAAAUUGGUUUCAAAGACCUUUCCAGUACGCCACGGUAUUCAGUAUAAUCUAAGGAAAUUAAAACAGAAGAAAAGUAUAGAAAAUAUUUCCAAUUAUCUAUCUUGAGAUCACAGAGAUUGAAUGCUGCAGGUCUUGUGUUUAGUGUAUAGACUAAUUGGUGGAUGUUAUUAACAUUAACCUUUUAGCAAAGUCUAGCUUGAUGAUGUUACUGACUUUGCAGUGUAGUGGAAGAUGUUAACCUAACUUUGGUAGACAACAAGCCUAACCCUGAAGUCAACGAUGUACAAUAUGUCAGUGUCACGGUUCCACUACCAAACGUAACGCGAAUAUAAACAAUACUUACGGGUACAUGUAUUUACUUUGAUUGAAAUGAGGUCAACUUAAAAAUUUGUGUAGAUGUGUUAU